GUCGAGUUUGCUUAGAUAAGUCCGAAACAUUUUCCCUCUUUCUAUUUUGUCGUAUACGCAAAAACACAUUAAAAAUAUCAUCUUCAAGAUGUAUUAUAAUUCAUGUUGUAUAGCAGAUGUACAUGUACAUAUACGAGAUGCUCCAUCUCCCUUAAUUUCUUUUACAUAAUUGAACAUAAAUUAUUUAUACAUGAAAUGCAUUAUAUUAUUCACUUAUCGAGUUGGAAAUGCAAACUGACAUAUAUUUAUAGA